GCGGUCUUGGGGUGUGCGAUCUCGCUGAGCCUCCUCGCACGCUCUACAGAGGAUCAUUUCAACUCUGGCAAAUAAAAAUGAUGAAAUUCAGAACUUUAUUGAUACACUACAUCAUACACUAAAAGGAGUUCAGGAAAAUUCGUCCAACAUACUCUCAGAGUUAGAUGAAGAAUUUGAUAGUUUAUACUCUAUACUGGAUGAAGUAAAAGAAAGUAUGAUUAACUGUAUCAAGCAGGAACAAGCUCGUAAAUCCCAAGAGUUACAGAGUCAGAUUAGUCAAUGUAAUAAUGCCCUGGAGAACUCUGAAGAACUAUUAGAAUUUGCAACAAGGUCAUUAGAUAUAAAGGAACCUGAAGAAUUUUCAAAGAGUCACAAUGGCUUCAGCCUUUCGCCUUUCUUUGAAACCAAAGGUCAGUGACAACAUGACUCAUUUAAUGGUGGAUUUCUCACAGGAAAGACAGAUGCUGCAAACUUUGAAGUUUUUGCCAGUCCCCAAAGCUCCAGAGAUAGAUCCAGUAGAGUGUUUGGUGGCAGAUAACUCUGUAACAGUGGCUUGGAGAAUGCCA
rnacentral:sRNA from 1 species